rnacentral:piRNA from 2 species
UUUUGGAGAGAAGCGGGGCCACUUUGA